UACGAAGGGGGCUAGCGUUGCUCGGAAUUACUGGGCGUAAAGGGCGCGUAGGCGGACAGUUUAGUCAGAGGUGAAAGCCCAGGGCUCAACCUUGGAAUUGCCUUUGAUACUGGCUGUCUUGAGUUCGGGAGAGGUGAGUGGAAUGCCGAGUGUAGAGGUGAAAUUCGUAGAUAUUCGGCGGAACACCAGUGGCGAAGGCGACUCACUGGCCCGAUAUUGACGCUGAGGCGCGAAAGCGUGGGGAGCAAACAGG
rnacentral:rRNA from 1 species